rnacentral:lncRNA from 1 species
AAUUAUUCAAUUAACUAGUUGUAUACUUCCUCCAUAGAAAAGACAUUUUCCACUUCAUCUUGCUAAAAGUGCCGCUAUUGACUGGAUUAGUUUCCAACAUUGUCCAAACGAUUUCUUCUUUCCCAUGAUUGGGAGUCCCAUGUAUGAUAUGGGUAGACUUUUAACAACAUAUCCUAAGAUAUCAUGAAGAGAUUGAUCUUUGCGCAUACUUUCAAGAAGGUGGAAGAGCUCUUGUUCGAGUUUACUUACGAUCCUGAAAAUAACGAGAAUUUCUCAUGCAGUGCCUUAAUUGCAUUAAGCGAUUUCGGAUUUUCCUUUGAGAAGAUAAGGACAUCAUCCGCAUACAUAAGGUGGGAUAUAGAAGUAACACCAAUACACCAUUAACCUAAUAGGUGUCUAUCCUUUUGUUCCUCACUUCAUUCUGUAUCAAUCUACCUAGAAUGUCCAUAACCUUGCCUAAUCUCCCUCUGGCUUUUGAAACAAGGGGUUGGGGUCCCUACCACCAGUACCAAAAAUGAAGCAGAAGAUGUGCAAUUCCUAAUCAUUUUUGCAGAAUACAGAAAAAAGUCAUACGCCUCAAGGGUGGCAAUUAUAGCCUCCCACCGGACUGUGUCAAAGGCUU